UACGAGGGGGGCGAGCGUUGUUCGGAAUUAUUGGGCGUAAAGGGUGCGUAGGCGGUUCCGCAAGUCCUGUGUGAAAUCUUCGGGCUCAACUCGAAGUCUGCACGGGAAACUGCGGGGCUUGAGUGUGGGAGAGGUGAGUGGAAUUCCCGGUGUAGCGGUGAAAUGCGUAGAUAUCAGGAGGAACACCGGUGGUGUAAACGGCUUUCUGGACCAUAACUGACGCUGAGGCACGAAAGCGUGGGUAGCAAACAGG
rnacentral:rRNA from 1 species